UGCGUAGGCGGCGCGGUAAGUCGGGUGUGAAAUCUCGGAGCUUAACUCCGAAACUGCAUUCGAUACUGCCGUGCUUGAGGACUGGAGAGGAGACUGGAAUUUACGGUGUAGCGGUGAAAUGCGUAGAUAUCGUAAGGAAGACCAGUGGCGAAGGCGGGUCUCUGGACAGUUCCUGACGCUGAGGACGAAGGCCAGGGGAGCAAAC
rnacentral:rRNA from 1 species